GACGUAGGGCGCGAGCGUUGUCCGGAUUUAUUGGGCGUAAAGAGCUCGUAGGCGGCUUGUCGCGUCGACUGUGAAAACCCGCGGCUCAACUGUGGGCUUGCAGCUGAUACGGGCGGGCUGGAGUUCGGUAGGGGAGACUGGAAUUCCUGGUGUAGCGGUGAAAUGCGCAGAUAUCAGGAGGAACACCGGUGGCGAAGGCGGGUCUCUGGGCCGAUACUGACGCUGAGGAGCGAAAGCGUGGGGAGCGAACAGG
rnacentral:rRNA from 1 species